GCUUCAUGCAUAGUUGAGGAAAGUCC
rnacentral:piRNA from 1 species